UUACAGGAUUGUUCGGAGUGUGAAAUGCAGAAGGACACACAGUACCCUCGUGUCAGUGCCUGGCGCAUGGUAAGCGCUCAGUAAACAUUAGGUGUCACUGAGUCACAAGCGAUAACAGGUAAAAUGUGUGCUCUCUUCAGAGAGGUGACACUGUGACUUACAGUCUCGCUAAACAUCUUAGAGAGGAUGCUUCCUGAGAAGUGUUCUAGGAGAUCAGAGGCCCAUUGCAGGUUCUUUAAGUCUUGCAUUUGUAAAGUUUAUGUACAUGGGAAUCCCCUAGGGCCCCUGUUAAAAUUUGGAUUCUGAGUUAGUAGCUUGGGGGUGGGGCCUGGGGUUCUGCAUUUCUAAUAUGCUCCCUGAUGAUGUUGGUCCUUGGGGACCAGAGUUUGAAUAGCAAGGAGCUAGGGACUGUAGAUUUCACAUUGUACCUUGUCAGAGCUUUAACCCAGAUUGCUAAAGAAAGAAGCUACAGAGAAUGCUACCUACCUGUGCCAUUUUCUCAUUUUUAAAUUAGUCUGGCUUCAUUUCUAGGUGAUGUUGGGGAUAUUGCUAAAAGUUUAUACUCAGGCUUUGAUGAAGUACCUUAUAAUCUCAGUAGUGAGACACAGAUGUCCUAUGAAUUAUUUGCUCUCCUCGCUGGGUCACUGGAGGUGGUUUCACUCUCACCUGAUCACAAGUCAGCCCAUUACUGAGGGUAGCUCUGUGGCAGCCAACCAACCAUAUCUAUCCUCCCCUUCCUUACUAACCAAACCUCAAUUUUAUUUGAUGCAGGAGUGUGUUAACAAAACUUUAUUUCUCAGUCUUUAUGCAGAGGAAUGGACAAUGAGAUAGAAGCAAAGUUAUUAGGUAGGGCUUACAGAAAAGGUUUUUAUUUACAGAGGAUUUACUCCACGGUCAGGUAACCUUUCCUCUUACUUCCUGCCUGGAACACAUACAGAAUGACUGGAACUCCAGCAGCCAUCUUGGGACAUGAGGCAACCUCAAGGAUGGAAGUCACAUGGUAAGGAUGGUGGGGCAAAAAAACAGAGCUGUGGCACAUUGAUGGUACCACAAGCCCUUUCGUACUUAACUCCAGACUUCCUUUACAUUAAAAAGCAAACAAAAAAUCCGGUUGUUUCAGCCAGUAUUUGACAGGUUUCCUAUUAGGUGAAGGAUGCUAAACCCAGUGGUAACUGACCCCACCAGAGCAGGCGCAGUUUAGCAGGGCAGACACGGGUUUAAAUCUGUGUCUAAAACCGUCAUCCUUCCGAGCACCCUUUGUGGGCUCCCCUAGUCAUGUAGAGGCAGGGGAACUGGAUUGAGGGUCAGAAGCCCAGGGUGCUCAGCUCAGCUUUGCCAUUUCCUAGUGGUAUGAUCCUGUUCCUUUAACCUCAGUCCCCACCCCCGUAAAAUGGGGGUGAUGGAUGACAGAGUCCAACACAGUGCGAGGUGCAGAACUCACUCUGCUGGUGUUGGGUGAGGGGUGGGUCUCAGGAUAACGGGGAGGAUGCAAAGACCAAUUGGCCGCAGUGGCUGACGCUGAUGUGAGCAGCGAGGGGCCGUGCAGGGGUGCAGCUCGGGUACAGGCGCUGACGCACCUUUCAGUGCUUCCACUGGAGGUGCCCACCUUGGUGCCCCAAGGGCCACAGAGCGCUGCACCCUGCUGGAACCGAAAGGGCUUGGACUGAGUGCCCCGUCCGCAUGAAUGAGAGGCUGGUUUUGUUCAGAGGAACUGGGGCGGCACAAGUAGCCUUCAGCUGGGCCUUGGGAAGCCUGCCUCAGGCCUUCCUCCGCCACCAGCUCCUGAGCUUUAAGCCGAGGCCUGCGAGGUGGCCGGCAGCAUCUCGGCUCCUGCACUGCUUUGCUGCUGAAACCCGCAGGACUGCGCCCCGGCUCCUUCCUCUGGAGCAGCCGGAUGGGCUGGGGGGUCAGCAGCGAGUGUGCGUUCUCUCCUGCUGCCUGGAACCUGCAGUGAGAGGUCUUCACCCACAGCCCAGCUGUCCGCACCUCCUUCAUCCAAACCAGAGCACCGUUUUGCUGCCACUUUCUCUCAACCGUCUUCCAGACCUGAAGCCAUCUCUCUCCAUCUUCCUCUCUUGCCCACCCCGAUUCCUUACGUUGGGCACCUGCCCGGCUUCCACUCACGCGGUGCCAGCGGGUCCCUGGAGGGCAAAAACCACGUCCUUACGACGAACUGAAACGAUCAAGAGGCAUCUGACCUCCCUGCACGACGAGUGGAGAGCAGAGGCCGGAAGAGGACUGCCGGCCGCUGCGGAGGGGACCUCCCACAGCUGGGCCACGUGGGGCUACAUCUUUCUGACCAGCCGCUAGAGGGUCUGAAAAUGCCUGCAUUUCCUUACUGCGGCCUCUUCCUAGAUGUUUUGGUGUGAUUGAAACAAGGUCCGUCUGAGUGGACAUGGUCCACACGGGUCAGUUUCCUUGCUCAGGGAUGACAGAGGCAACCAGCACAGCUGAAGAGACGGGCUUGCCUUCUCCUGGGUGGAGACUCUGAAAUCACAGGCCUCAUAAGGAUGUAGCUUCGCAUGGACCCCCCUGUGAGACCCGUCCUGGACAAGGUGUCAGUGACAACCAUCCUACUCCAGGUUGGUUACAUUUUCCGACCCUGGAGAAGCGGCCUUUUGUAGGAGACGUCCUGUGUAUCCCCGCAGUGCACUCACCUCUGGUCACCAGAGCUGUAUGCUGUAGGGGUGCCCCCUGUGUGGGCUACCUGGGUUCUUCUGUUGUGGUCAGCUGACUGCUGCUGGCAGUCUGGCUGACUGGCAGAGCAGCUAAGAAGCUGGUGCUGAGAAGCUAGAGAGGAUUCCAAAGUGGUGCUUGCCAGCCCCAGUGUUCUCCUGGUAGAACAAGCUCCCAGAAAUGGCUGCCACAGUGUCUGUGACCCCAGUGUGAGUUCCAGUUGCCUCCUGCCUUUCUGGAAGGCUCUCCAAGAUCAGCAGGUGGGUCUGACUCAGGCUGCUUUCAAAUUACUGCUUCUUCCCUGGGUCCUGGAGUGUGAGAUUUUGUGUGCAUCCUUUAAAAUUGGAGUCUAUUUCCCACAGCCCUCUGGCUCUCCUGAAAGUCAGCCCUGCUGGCCUUCAAAGCCAGACAUUCUGGGGGCUUGUCUUCCUGGUGCAGGACUCCCAGGGUGGGAAGCCUGAUGUAGGGCUUGGACCCCUCACUUCUUGGGGAGAACCUCUGCAGUUGUAAGUAUCCUUCCUUUUGUGGGCUGCCCACCCUGGGGUGUGAGUCUUGCCUAAACCUGCCCCUGCCCCUCCUAACGGUCUUGUUGUGGUUCCUUCUUUAUAUCUUUAGUUGUAGAAGAUCUUUUCUGCUAGAUUCCAGUCUCUCUCAUCAACUGUGGCUCUGUAAACUGUUGUAAUUUUGUUGUGCCCAUGAGAGGAGGUGAGCUCAGGGUCGUCCUGCUCCACCAUUUGGCCAGGUCCUCAAGAGCUAACAUUUACUAAGGCCUAACUCUGUGUCAGACACCGUGCUGAGCACCUUACACAUAUUUAAUCCUGCCGGGCCUAUAAAUAGGUGCCAUUAUUCCCAUUUUACAGAUGAGGAAGCCGAGGCACAGCGAGAUUAAGUAACUUGUCCAAAGUUGCACAGCCAGUAAGGGGUGGAAGAGCCAGAAUUUGACUCCAGGGCGUCGAUUUGACCCACACUGCUGCUUUGUGACAUUUGGACACCUGGGUCAGGAGCUCAGGGUGGAUCUGAGUGUUAGCUGUAGACAUGGAGUCAUCUGAGGCCAGGACAGCGCUUAGGCCCCGUGGAGCCAGCCAGGAAACGUUCCCAGCAUCAAACUCGUCCUUUGCAUUAAUAAUCAGGGGUAAGUACCCACAUCUGAGGUGCCCUUGAACUUGGGGCGCUGUAAGGGACAAUGGGCUGUUUCUUAAGCAUCAUUGCUCAAGCCUACAAGCCCCUCCAGGAUGCUUUGCCCAGAGGAAGGGGGAGGCGGGACGGCA